rnacentral:rRNA from 1 species
UACGUAGGUGGCAAGCGUUACUCGGAAUUACUAGGCGUAAAGCGCAGGUAGGUGGUUGGAUAAGUCCGUAAUGAAAUCUCCCGGCUUAACUGGGAGGGGUUUAGGGAUACUAUCCGACUCGAGUGUGGGAGAGAUAGCUGGAAUUCCUGGUGUAGCGGUGAAAUGCGUAGAUAUCAGGAGGAACACCUAUGGCGAAAGCAGGCUAUUGGCCCAAUACUGACACUGAGCUGCGAAAGCUAGGGGAGCAAACAGGAUUAGAUACCCUGGUAGUCCUAGCCAUAAACGAUGUAGACCAGAUGUGGGGGGUAUCGACCCCCUCUGCGUCGACCCUAACGGAUUAAGUCUACCGCCUGGGGAGUACGGCCGCAAGGUUGAA